rnacentral:siRNA from 1 species
UUUAAUUUUACGAGACGUGGU